CAAGCUGGGAUUUUAAAAUGUGAAGUCGUGGGAAAUUCUUGACACAUCCUAGAAUUUUUUUCAGUAAAUAUUGCGAGGUACUCGGUUCCAGUUUUUUGCAUUGAAAUGACGACAAUAAUUUUUUGUCACUCGAUUAUUUUCUUUCUCGGGAUACUUGAAGUCACUAGUGACCUAGAAUACAAAUUCGUGAAUGUGAUUUUUCGCCAUGGAGAUCGAACUCCGACGAAUAAACCUUACGAAUCAUUUCCAACAAGCCCAUAUGUAAAAUCGGAUUUUUCUCCUUACGGUCAUGGACAAUUGACAAACAAAGGAAAGCAAAGUGUUUAUGAACUGGGUAAAUACAUGCGCGAACGUCUUGACCAGUUUCUGGGGGAUCUAUAUGAUCCUAACGUGGUAUCCGCGCGUAGUACUCAUGCUGACAGAACGCAAAUGUCUCUUCAAAUGGCGAUGGCGGGUAUGUUUCCCCCUGGUCCUUACCAAAAAUGGAAUUCAAAACUAAAUUGGCAGCCAGUGGUGAUGAAUGUUCCACCACCUGACGACGACUUCUUGCUUUUCCACAAACACCCGGAGUUCAAAGAACAGCGCGCUAGUGUCCUCAAAGAUUCGAAGCUUCGGGCAGAAAUUGAAACAUUAAGUGAUUUUGCGAAAAAUCUGAGCGACUGGAUCGGUACUCCCGUCACGGAUACUAAACAGUACAACUUUAUUUAUCAUGGUUUAGCGUCACUAGAGUCCAUGGAUUGUUCUCUUCCUUCAUGGGCUACAGGGAUUUAUCCAAGAGGUCUAUUACUAGAUGCUGUCGAUCAAGAAUAUAAAGUGCUAAAUUACAACUGGAAAAUGAGGUGCCUCAGUGGAGGAAGGCUUUUAAAGAAAUUUACAGAUAACAUGUUAAUUGCUGCGAGUGGAGAUAGCCAAUCAAAAUUGAAGAUGGAAUUACUAGCCGCCCACGACAUAAAUAUCGUUUCGUUGUUGAAAAUACUUAACCUCUACGAACCUCAGGUUCCAGAAUAUGCCAGCGCCAUUUUUGUUGAAUUACUGGCGGAUGGCGAUAAAUAUUUUGUCAACAUUCAUUAUUACCUGGGGAACCCUUCGGCGACAGAAUCCCUAAGAAUCCCCGGAUGUGAAGAACUAUGUCCUCUGGAAAAGUUUGUGGAACUAUUUGGCAGUUCCAUGCCAACGGCUGAGAAUAGCUGUUGACCAGGAUGGCUUCCACUCAAAAAUAUUUUCUAUUACUAGGAUUCAUGUAGUCAAUUAGAUGUCUCGAAACGGAGACCCGUGUACAGAUCGAUAUCGAUAUUUCUCAAAGAAAUAUCUCGAAAAUGCGUAAGCGUAAGACAGAAACCGAAGCGACAUCUGUCGAUUAUAUAAGUCGCACAUUGGACGGGAACAAAUGAACUGGAACAAAUGAACCGGUAAAAACCAUCACAUUUGGCAACGUGUUUGAGUGUUUUUAUCCUAUUAUAAAAAGGAGAUAAUUUAUAAUCGUGAAACAUCAUGACAUCUCCACCUAUUAAAUAUACGACCAACAGAGCCAUUGAUCAUUUCAAUAUUGGAGCUACACUCAUGAAAAUCAUCGGCUACGUCGACUGCAUUGAAGGCCUGAGGGAGCUGCCAAAAUCUCCAUCUAAGUGGAUUUACAAGUGCAUUUUAAUUGGAUGAUCAAACUAACUUACCUGUAAGUGACGUUCGAUCCUAAUUAUAUGAAGUCCUCGCUCGAGUACAUUACAACUGUAGUAUGCCUUCGGUCGGCAAGGCAGCACACGCGACUUUAGAGUUCAAUAGAAAGAGAACACGAGAGGUGACCCCCACCUCUCCCCAUCCUCGCGCGGAGACCUCAAUUUUAGAGCCCCACCAUACACACAACUUAAAGGGGAGGGAAAAACAAAAAAUCGUUUUUGGCCUCUAGGUGGGACUAAUGUACUCGAGCGAGGACUUCAUAUAAUUACGAUCGAACAUCACUUACAGGUAAGUUAGUUUGAUCAUCCAAUUAUAUUUCGUCCACGCUCUCCUACAUUACAACUGUAGUUGUUUAGAGAUUUGAAAAUAAUCAAUUCCCUCUUUGGUUUUUCUUUUUCUCUUUUUUUUUAUUCCAGUACCGAUAAAGAAAAGUUUGAAGUAUUUGUAUUGAUAGGCCUUUGGUAAAAACGGGCAAACGUCUGAGAGUCAGCAGACCAGCCUGCAGUUCUGCGAAUGGUAUCGAAAUCAACACCUUUUUCGGCAGAUCUUGACGUAGAAGCAUGCCGUGUGGAAUGAGCAGAAAAAUAGUGGUAUCAAUUCCACCUAAAAACAAACAUUUCUUCACCCAUCUACUAAUGAAUACACACAUAACAAUGGUUUUUCGUUAAACUUUGGUAAUCGAAAACAUGGCUGAUUACGUCCUGGUCCUGAAGUUUUUAAAACAUCAGGGAUCCUUAUCUCAAUACCGUCAGGUGAUUCUUUUAUAAGAUCGAUUCUGAUCUUUGAGAGAGCUUGCGCUCUUUGAGCGGUACGUAAGGCUAAAAGCAUUACAGUCUUAUAUGUUAGAUCUCUUAAAGUACAUAUAUUUAAGGAUUCCAAGAAACGGAGGACAGUUGCCACGUCCCAUGUAGAGGAAUAUUUGGGUCUGCAUGGUCUCAUCUUGUAUACCCCCUUUAAACGGCAAAUGAUUGCGUUUUCCCCAAUCUUCUUCUUAGACAAUAAUGAAAUUGCACUACGGCAAGAAUUGAGCGUACCAUAAGACGCCCCCGCUUUGUAUCUCUCAUAUAAGAAUUCUAGGACUACCUUAACAUUUAUAUCUAAACAGUCUCUGUUCUUCCGUCUACAAAACUCAUCCCAUUGCUUUAGAGCACUACCAUAUUGUUUGAAUGUAGAUUUACUUAAUGAAGCUAGAUCAAUGUCUAAGGCUUCAAUGGGAACUUUCCUUGCUAGAAAGGCCUCCCGGAUAUUCUGCUCGCAAUUAAACCCAGAUGGUCUGCUCUGGGAUGUGAUAAUUUCCUGCAUGGAGAAAGGAGUAGUCUUGAAUUAGGUUUGAAAAAUAGAGGCUUGCCUACUAUUAAUUUUUCGAAAAGCGGAAACCAAGGUUGAUUUUUCUACAGAGGAACCACUAAGAUACCCUCUGCUUUUUCCCGUUUAAUUUUUGCUAAGGCUUUCAAAAUUAAUGAAAAGGGGGGAAAAGCGUAAACAUCCCAUUUAUCCCAGGUGAUGGUGAAGGCAUCAACAUACAGGGAUCUACCCUCUGGUUUCCAUGAGAUGAAUCUUGUACAUUUCGUAUUUAAUUCGGAUGCGAAAAGGUCAAUCUCAGGAACGCCAAAAUUCCUAAUGAUUUCCUUGUAAUAAAUUUCGUUCAGUUCCCAUUCCGUAUCAAUAUUCUUAAUUCUUGAUAAGCUAUCAGCAAUAAUGUUUUCUUUAGAUGGAAUAUAAGAAGCAAUCAGAAUUAUCUUCCUAAGCUCUGCCCAUUGCCAAAUUUCACGAGCCAAUUUAUUAUAUCUCUGGAAUCUGGUACCACCCAUUUUAUUUAUGUAUGCAAUGGCCGUGGUGUUAUCUAUUCGCAAUAGAAUUUUACAGUCUUCAAACCCUGAA